rnacentral:rRNA from 1 species
GUAGGGAAUAUUAGUAAUGGGCGAAAGCCUGAACUAGCAACGCCGCGUGUGCGAAGAAGGCCUUCGGGUUGUAAAGCACUUUUUGAGAGGAUGAGGAAGGACGGUACUCUCAGAAUAAGUCUCGGCUAACUACGUGCCAGCAGCCGCGGUAACACGUAGGAGGCGAACGUUAUCCGGAUUUACUGGGCGUAACGCGCGUGUAGGUGGUUUGGUAAGUAGGGCGUGAAAGCUCCUGGCUCAACUGGGAGAGGCCGUUCUAAACUGCCGAACUAGAGGGUGGUAGAGGGAGGUGGAAUUCCGGGUGUAGCGGUGGAAUGCGCAGAUAUCCGGAGGAACACCAGUGGCGAAAGCGGCCUCCUGGACCACUCCUGACACUCAGACGCGAAAGCUAGGGUAGCAAACGGGAUUAGAAACCCUUGUAGUCC